AGUUAAUGAGCUUGAACAAGCAUUUGUUUUGAAAACAUAAGAUAGAAAUUUAACUUUCUAUUAACUU
rnacentral:tRNA from 1 species